UAUUUUAGUAGAGAUGGGGUUUCACCAUGUUGGCCAGGCUGGUCUGGAACUCCUGGGCUCAAGUGAUCCACCCGCCUCGGCCUCCCAAAGUGCUGGGGUUUCAGGUGUGCGCCACCGCGCCCGGCCCCUAGUCAUUUCUAAGAGUGAGUCCUGAGGUUCCAGGCUCCUGUGCCCAGGACUGCAGCCUUGGGGCUCACCCCCUGGCCAGGGAAGGCCCAGCUCUGAGCGAAUUGUAUGCCUCAGCUCUGGACAAAACGAGAAGCUGCAGCCUUGUCCCCGCCAGGCCCCUGCGCCUCACCUCGCAUCUCCUUGCAGAACUACUGCCCUGGCCCCUCAGCUUGUGGGAGGCGACGGUGAAGGUCAGGAGCAACGUCCUCUGUAACCAGACCUGUCGCCGCCGCUUUCCUUCCAACCACACUGAGCGGUUUGAGCGGCUCAUCAAGGACGACAUGCUGUGUGCCGGGGACGGGAACCACGGCUCCUGGCCAGGCGACAACGGGGGCCCCCUCCUGUGCAGGCGGAAUUGCACCUGGGUCCAGGUGGAGGUGGUGAGCUGGGGCAAACUCUGC
rnacentral:lncRNA from 10 species